rnacentral:rRNA from 1 species
GAUGAACGCUAGCGACAGGCCUAACACAUGCAAGUCGAGGGGCAGCACAUGAGUAGCAAUACGAUGGUGGCGACCGGCGCACGGGUGAGUAACACGUAUGCAACCUGCCUUCUACUAUGGGAUAACCCGUUGAAAAACGGACUAAUACCGUAUAAUACAGGGGCUCCGCAUGGAGAUAUUUGUUAAAGAUUAAUUGGUAGAAGAUGGGCAUGCGUAUGAUUAGAUAGUUGGUGAGGUAACGGCUCACCAAGUCAACGAUCAUUAGGGGUUCUGAGAGGAAGGUCCCCCACACUGGUACUGAGACACGGACCAGACUCCUACGGGAGGCAGCAGUGAGGAAUAUUGGUCAAUGGACGAGAGUCUGAACCAGCCAAGUCGCGUGAAGGAAGACGGUUCUAUGAAUUGUAAAACUUCUUUUGUACAGGAAUAAAGUGGAUUACGUGUAAUCUUUUGUAUGUACUGUACGAAUAAGGAUCGGCUAACUCCGUGCCAGC